GCUGACACAUCCCGGCCAAUCUCCAGCAGACCCUCCCUCCCAGACCCUCCCACCUCCUGGACAGCAUCCAUGUUGAAGCUGCCUUCAACAUGGAUGCUGUCCAGGAGGUGGGAGGGUCUGGGAGGGAGGGUCUGCUGGAGAUUGGCCGGGAUGUGUAAG